rnacentral:rRNA from 1 species
GGGGACCCCUGUCGGGCUCGGACUAAGUCAUGCGAGUUGGCUGGGGGCCCCUGCCCCUGGCGGCGCACGGCUCCGUAAUACGCGGUCAACCUACCCUGGGGACCGGGAUAACCUCGGGAAACUGAGGCUAAUACCGGGUAGGGGAGGGGCGCUGGAAUGCCCCCUCUCCGAGAGUAAGCGGGGGGAUGGCCCCGCUGAGGCCCCAGGAUGGGACCGCGGCCUAUCAGGUAGUAGGUGGGGUAACGGCCCACCUAGCCUAAGACGGGUACGGGCGGUGAGAGCCGGAGCCCGGGGAUUUGGGCACUGAGACAAGGGCCCAGGCCCUACGGGGCGCAGCAGACGCGAAACUUCCCCAAUGCGCGAAAGCGUGAGGGAGCGAGCCCGAGUGUCGCCCGCUGAGGGCGGCUGUUCCCGGGUGUAAACAGCCCGGGGUAGGAAGGGGAGGGCAAGGCUGGUGCCAGCCGCCGCGGUAAAACCAGCUCCCCGAGGGGUUCCCACGCAUACUGGGCCUAAAGCGUCCGUAGCCGGCCCCGUAAGUCCUCGGUUAAAUCCGCCGGAAGACCGGCGGACCGCCGGGGAUACUGCGGGGCUAGGGAGCGGGAGGAGCCGGGGGUAUUCCCGGGGGAGCGGUAAAAUGCGUAGAUCCCGGGAGGACCACCAGUGGCGGAGGCGCCCGGCCGGAACGCGUCCGACGGUGAGGGACGAAAGCUGGGGGAGCAAACCGGAUUAGAUACCCGGGUAGUCCCAGCCGUAAACGAUGCCGGCUAGGUGCCGGCUGAGGUUUUGGCCUCGGCCGGUGUCGAAGCGAAGGUGUUAAGCCGGCCGCCUGAGGAGUACGGCCGCAAGGCUGAAACUUGAAGGAAUUGACGGGGGGCACCACAAGGGGUGAAUGCCUGCGGCUU